rnacentral:rRNA from 1 species
AACUUUCAGCAACGGAUCUCUUGGCUCUCGCAUCGAUGAAGACGCAGCGAAAUGCGAUACGUAAUGUGAAUUGCAGAAUUCCGUGAAUCAUCGAAUCUUGAACGCACAUUGCGCCUUUGGGUUAUUCCCAAAGGCAUGCCUGUUGAGUGUCA